CCUACCUGGUUGAUCCUGCCAGUAGUCAUAUGCUUGUCUCAAAGACUAAGCCAUGCAUGUCUAAGUCCAAGCUGUGUCCAACACGGCGAGACCGCAAACGGCUCAUUAAAUCAGUCUUGGUCCAAAUGGGCCAGUCCUUAUCUUACUUGGAUAACUGUGGUAAUUCCAGAGCUAAUACAUGCAACUGAUACUCUGAUGGUUGGUGCCUCGACUCGCUUGCCGUGUCUUGGUUUCCGCCUGAAGGGUGCUUUUAUUAGACCAAACCGUUGGGGCCUUGUCGUCGUUGUCUACGGAAGCGGCGGCUCGGUUGACUCGCAUGAUGGUGACUCUGAAUAACCUUUCUGACAAGCGCACGUACUCCUCUUUCGAGCGGGACGACGCUGCCACUUUCGAGUGUCUGCCUUAUCAGCUAUCAACCGUUCGUUACGUGCGACCGAUGGCUUUGACGGGUAACGGGGAAUCAGGGUUCGAUUCCGGAGAGGCAGCCUGAGAAACGGCUACCACGUCCAAGGACGGCAGCAGGCACGCAAAUUACCCAAUCCCAGCAACUGGGGGAGGUAGUGACGAAAUCUAACGAUGCGGGCGCCCUUUCUGGGGCCCCGCAAUCGGAAUGACCGCUUUCUAAACAACCCGUUGAGAACCUACUGAAGGGCAAGUCUGGUGCCAGCAGCCGCGGUAAUUCCAGCUUCAGCAGCAUCUAUUAAAGUUGCUGCGGUUAAAAGGCUCGCAGUUGAAUUUCAGUGCCGGGCGCAGGUCAGGUGGACGUUGGGGCGUGGGAAUUCGUGGCCUUUGCACGAGCAUACACAUCAAACCGUGCGGGGUCUCUCGUGCGGCGUGUUGCUACGGCUGGGUCGCUCUCACAAGCUCCCGUCCGUGACAAGCCUCCUCGCCUGAGUACAUACGCGUAACGUUAUUAUUGUCUAGAGAGUGGUGGUGCGUGUUAUCCGUUUACUCGGGCGUGCACGUGCCGCAAGCCGCUCUCUGCCCCUACUUGUCAGUUAUGCAUUGUCACCUUGAGUAAAUCAGAGUGCUCAAAGCAGUCGUAGAGGGCUUCGGUCCUAGUAAACAGUCUUGACGGAUUGACUUGGUCUUGCAUGGGAUGUCGGAGGACGACGUCGGGUGCCGGCUCAGAGAUUCAAAUCAUGGUAUAAGCCUGUCCCGACGUAAUGAUCAAAAGGACUGGUCGAGGGCAUCGGUAUUGCGAGGCGAGAGGUGGAAUUCUAUGACCCCCGCAAGACCUCCUGAAGCGAAAGCCUCUGCCAAGGAUGUUUUCACUAAUCAUGAACGAAAGUUAGAGGAUCGAAGGCGAUCAGAUACCGCCCUGGAGUUCUAACCCUAAACGAUGCCAACCAUCAAUCCGCCGUAGCACCCUGUUUCGACGGGCUCGGCGGGCAGYUCCCUACUCACGGGAAACCAGAGUCUCUGGGUUCCGGGGGGAGUCUGGUUUGCAAAGCUGAAACUUAAAGGAAUUGACGGAAAGGCACCACCAGGCGUGGAGCCUGCGGCUUAAUUUGACUCAACGCGGGCCAUCUCACCAGGCCAGCACUCUAGCUUGAUUGACAGAUUGAGAGCUCUUUCUCGAUUCAGUGGAUGGUGGUGCAUGGCCGUUCUUAGUUGGUGGAGUGAUCUGUCUGGUUAAUUCCGAUAACGAACGAGACUCUCCCCUGCUAACUAGUCGGUUGGAUCUUGCUCGGUGAGUAGUGUACCAGGGUCGCCUCGGGGUCGUGGGCUGAGCUGGGGGCUCGUGUGCGGUGGUUGUUGGUGUGUUUGCGCUUGCGCUGCCACCGCUUCUGCUGUGCGUGUUCUCUCUUCUCUGUCGCUUCUUCAGGUCCCAGGACCACACACUCCAAGUCCGCCGCUUAUGCUAUAACUCUUCUUAGAGGGAUCCACGGUUCUACAGCCGUCAGAGACUGAGAGCAAUAACAGGUCUGUGAUGCCCUUAGAUGCUCUGGGCCGCACGCGCGCUACAAUGCCGGGCACAGCAGGUGUUUCUCCUGCUCCGAUAGGAGCGGGCAACCCUCUGAAAGCCCUCGAUUACUCUCGUGUCUGACACGAACGGCGUGCUUGGGCCUGGGGCUUGCAAUUCUUUCCCACCAACGAGGAAUGCCUAGUAGCGGCGGGUCACUGAGCCCGCUGUGACUCAGUCCCUGCCCUUUGUACACACCGCCCGUCGCUACUACCGAUUGGGUGUACCAGUGAGAGCCUUGGACUGGCGUCCGUUGCUUUCGAGUAAACGGGUCCGACGGAAAGAGGUCCGAACUGGUGCACUUAGAGGGAAGUAAAAGUCGUAACAAGGUUUCCGUAGGUGAACCUGCGGAAGGAUCAUUA
rnacentral:rRNA from 1 species